UGGGGAAUAUUGGACAAUGGGCGAAAGCCUGAUCCAGCCAUGCCGCGUGUGUAAGAAGGUCUUCGGAUUGUAAAGCACUUUAAGUUGGGAGGAAGGGCAGUAAGCGAAUACCUUGCUGUUUUGACGUUACCGACAGAAUAAGCACCGGCUAACUCUGUGCCAGCAGCCGCGGUAAUACAGAGGGUGCAAGCGUUAAUCGGAAUUACUGGGCGUAAAGCGCGCGUAGGUGGUUCGUUAAGUUGAAUGUGAAAGCCCCGGGCUCAACCUGGGAACUACAUCCAAAACUGGCGAGCUAGAGUAGGGCAGAGGGUGGUGGAAUUUCCUGUGUAGCGGAGAAAUGCGUAGAUAUAGGAAGGAACACCAGUGGCGAAGGCGACCACCUGGGCUCAUACUGACACUGAGGUGCGAAAGCGUGGGGAGCAAACAGG
rnacentral:rRNA from 1 species